rnacentral:rRNA from 1 species
GGGGGAACCCNGAUGCAGCCAUGCCGCGUGAAUGAAGAAGGCUUCGGGUUAAGUUCUUUCGGUAGCGAGGAAGGUAUCAAAUUUAAUAGAUUUGGUAAUU